rnacentral:lncRNA from 1 species
ACAGUUUCCUUGCCAAUGCUUCAUCUCUAGCAAAUGCACUGGGCCCCAAGCUAUUGCAGUCCACAUAGUAUUUACCGGUAACACCUUUCAAGCUCGGGUGCAACGCGACGUAGCAUGUUGUGGCUGUAGCAUGUUGUGGCUGCCCCCUGAGAUCAUCAGAAACAGGAAAAUAUAAAUAAAAGAAAAAGGGAUGACACUGUUUACAGAUCGAGGCUACCUGAGGCACGUUCUUCCAUAAGAAAAACGAAAAGAACUUCAAAGUUCCUGCCCAUAAUAAUAGUAAUAAUAAUAAUAAUAAUGAAGAAAAAAGAAGAAGAAUCAGGUCACUCUAACACAAGAAAAAAGCUUUUGGAGUACUGGAACAUAGAGCGUAUAAUUAAGACAUAUUUACUCAUUAAAAUUGCAGAGUGUUUGAAGAGAUUUGUCAUAAUCAACCCUGGAUGGACUGCAUUUGCAGUAAUGUUCACACCCUCUUCCUGCGUAUUACAGCAUCGAAGAAAAAGGCGUCAAAAUUCUCUAAGAAUUUGCAAUAGAAUUCAAAGUCAUAAUUUACUAAUUGAUAAUUCCCACUCUAUAGCUAGAACCAUGUAUAUAUGGAGUGACCAAAUCUGCCUCCUUUAGAGUUUUCUUUCUUUACAAUAAUAUUUAAAACACGUAUAUAUUUUAUUUAAAAACAAUAUAUAAUACAUGCUAGUGUAUAUUAAUUAUGAUUAAAGCUCAUGUCAAUAUAUAUAUUAAUACAUGGAAUUCUAUAAGAACCUAUAUGGUUUUUCAUAAUAAAAUCUAUUUUUAUAAUUUGAGAUAAAAAAAUCUGUCUUCAUAAUAAAAUCAAAGCUAGAUAUAUUAUUUUUCAUAGUAGUUACUUUAUUCUAUUUUGCAUAUUAGGUUAAGACUUUGUGUUAUAUAUAUAAACUAUUUUUACUUGUUCAUUAAUUUAUUUAUACUUUUUUGUGGUUGGGAGGUGGGUGGACUAGGACGAGAUUGGGUUUGAUCCAGCUUUUUAAAUGAAUUUUAUAAAAAUAAAAUUUAAAUUUAAAUUUAAAAACUAAACUGUCUUCCUGUCAAAUCGACUCAUGAUUUAUCUAAAAAUCUAGCCCAACUGAAUGAAUCAGAUGAUACUCAACUUGUCGAGGAGAUCGCCUUUCAUAGCCGUCCAUUUUAUGAAAUUUUGCUUCUAUCAUGUUGGAUCUCUAAGCCCAUAGUUGUUCUUUGUCUUCUCUGGGCGGAGAGUCCAAGGUGGUUUCUUAGUUGGUUUGAAAAUGUUUUUUAAAAUUUAUUUCUUUUUUAGCCCACGCUGCUAAAACAAACUGCUCUGAACCUUCGGUUGUUUCUUAUUUAACACCUACGCCAGGAUGACGCAUAGCUACGGCCCAGCGACAGAUUACCUUUUCCGGAUUCAUGACCCCAGAACAUAUUACAGACAUGCUCCAUGCGGAGCAAACUGAGAGCAAAGUUCAGGGAUAUUCUUAAUUUAGAAUUUAUUCUUCUCGUUUAUGAGCAAGUUGGAAGCAGACCGCAACUUCAGUG